rnacentral:misc_RNA from 1 species
GAUGAAGAACGUAGCGAAAUGCGAUAAGUAAUGUGAAUUGCAGAAUUCAGUGAAUCAUCGAAUCUUUGAACGCACAUUGCGCCCGCCAGCACUCUGGCGGGCAUGCCUGUCCGAGCGUCAUUUACCACCCUCGGGCCCCCUUGGGGGCCCGGUGCUGGGGGCACGGCCCAGGCCGCCCCCGAAAUGCAGUGGCGACCCCGCCGCGUCCUCCCCUGCGCAGUAGCACAAUCUCGCACCGGAAGCGCGGAGGCGGUCAGGCCUGGAAACGCCCCAACUCAACGCAGUUGACCUCGGAUCAGGUAGGAGUACCCGCUGAACUUAAGCAUAUCAAUAAGCGGAGGA